AUUAAAGUGGCUGAGGAAAUUAUAGGCGGUAGAUUGUAAAUCUAUAGACGAGUAGAACUCCUUUAUUAGU
rnacentral:tRNA from 1 species